ACGUGAAGGAGGGGACCGCCACAAGAGCACCAGCGACGGCAACAGAACAAAACAACGCAGGGCUCGGAGACACUUCCAAAAGCUGCGGAGCGAAUCCACGAGCCGAUGGCGGUGCGCAGACAGCUGCCGCCCCUCACCGAGCCCCGCCGGGCGCCCCGAGGUUCUCACACCGUUCUGACGGACGGACGGGGAAUCGAGGAGAAAAGAAGCCGGGCUUCGUGCCCGUCCUUCGGGAAUGAUGAGGAAGACAGCCAGGAAGCAGAUGAGAAGAUGAAGAAGGCAUAAAGGGAGAAAGAUGAAAGUCAGAGCUGAGAUAUGUCAACGUGGUCACACUGGAUCUCACAUUUUCUGCAGAGACCAGGAAGCAGUAUUCUCAUCUGAGCAUCUUUGUGGAAAUUUUGAUUAAAUUGAAGCCACAUUAAGCUGUCACACAAGUUUUACUCAACAAUGGACAUCUAAUUGUCACUGAGAGAAGACCACAAGGUAAUAUAGAGUACUUAUCCAUUACGAUAGUUUUUAUAUACUGUUAACACAAAUUGUCACAGCGCUCAUGAACUGUGAAGGCCCUUAAAGCUCCAUGCUUCAGGGCUACCACCUUCAAGUGAUACCAGAUCUACUCAGAUUUGAGGGUCAGAUUUGCCCAAGACUUAAUGGCACAUUUUGGCAACAAACGAGAAGUCAGAAAACACACAGAAGACUCUGAUGGAGGAAGCCUUGUGUUGCCAGAAGACAACAAUCAUCUUGUUUCUGACAGUUCUUCACAGUUUCUCUCUGGAGAAAGGAAGUCAGGGUAAAGUCAAGAGCAUAUCCUAAAUACUCUACAGACUGUUGCUAAGCAGCAUAGGUGUGACCAGCCAGAGGAUUUCUUUCUUGUGAUAGGAACUAAACCCUUCGGAGGCUGAGUAGCACAAUUGUGAAACGUAGAGUUAUUUGAGAUCUGCCAUGCUUUGGACUGCCAGGAUCAAUAUGCUCAUAUAUUUUCUCAUCAGUCACAUUUGUCAUUUUUUGUUUGUUUGUUGUUGUUGUUUUGUUAUUCUGUGUGACAAACAUAGCAAAGAAUAUUUUUAUAAUCCUGUUAAAACUCUUAAAGCAAUUUAACAGUGAACAGUAGGUACUAAAUCCUAAAAAGAUAUAGAAAAAAAGUCAUAUUCAGAAUUAGAACAUGAUGUCUGUAGUUAAUGACACUUUGGCACUCAGACCACGGGGCGUUGCUUACUGAAUGUAAUUAAUAACUAUUUAGAAGUACUUGACCACUAUUAAUUUGCUAUUGAUUAUACAUUAUACCUCUACUUUGAUUUUGAAUGGCAGUGUUGCGGUGUUGAAGUAUAUCAAUCAAAUGCUUGAUAUUCCACUAAUCAUUCGCAAUCCAAUUUGUAACUUUAAAGGCAUCAAAUUAUCUAAUCCAAAAAAAACCCACAACUUGC
rnacentral:lncRNA from 7 species